rnacentral:rRNA from 1 species
GCGGCGAAGCGGGUGAGUGAACACGGUGGGUGAUCUGCCCUGCACUUCGGGAUAAGCCUGGGAAACUGGGUCUAAUACCGGAUAUGACCUCCUAUCGCAUGGUGGGUGGUGGAAAGAUUUAUCGGUGCAGGAGUGGGCCCGCGGCUAGUCAGCUUGUUGGUGGGGUAAUGGCCUACCAAGGGCGAGCGACGGGUAGCCGACCUGAGAGGGUGACCGGCCACACUGGGACUGAGACACGGCCCAGACUCCUACGGGAGGCAGGCAGUGGGGAAUAUUGCACAAUGGGCGAAAGCCUGAUGCAGCGACGCCGCGUGAGGGAUGACGGCCUUCGGGUUGUAAACCUCUUUCAGCAGGGACGAAGCGCAAGUGACGGUACCUGCAGAAGAAGCACCGGCUAACUACGUGCCAGCCGCCGCGGUAAUAC